CUUACCGUAUUGCAGAGGUUAGCAUGUCCGCCUGUAACGCUGAAUGCCUGGGUUCGAAUCCUGUCGAUAACU
rnacentral:tRNA from 1 species